rnacentral:rRNA from 1 species
UACGGAGGGGGCUAGCGUUGUUCGGAAUUACUGGGCGUAAAGCGCACGUAGGCGGCUUUGUAAGUUAGAGGUGAAAGCCCAGGGCUCAACCCUGGAAUUGCCUUUAAGACUGCAUCGCUUGAACAUCGGAGAGGUAAGUGGAAUUCCGAGUGUAGAGGUGAAAUUCGUAGAUAUUCGGAAGAACACCAGUGGCGAAGGCGACUUACUGGUCCGGUUCUGACGCUGAGGCGCGAAAGCGUGGGAGCAACAGG